AACGCACAUUGCGCCCCUUGGUAUUCCGAAGGGCAUGUCUGUUUGAGCGUCAUUACAACACUUCGUUAACAAAUUUUUUUGGUAACGGUUAUGGGUGUGGUACGUGCGACUGACUUAACGGUCUCUUGCACGCCACGCCUUAAAUUCUCUACCAAAGAAUGUUCUGCAAGCCGGACUUUGAAAACUUUACGUAGUAGUAUCAACCAACCGUUCAGUGUGAGAAGUACGUGUGUGCCUGAAAAAUACUGUAUUUGACCUCUCUAGGUUUGACCUCAGAUCAGACAAGGAUACCCGCUGAACUUAA
rnacentral:misc_RNA from 1 species